rnacentral:rRNA from 1 species
UACGUAGGGUGCGAGCGUUGUCCGGAAUUAUUGGGCGUAAAGAGCUCGUAGGCGGUGUGUCACGUCGUUCGUGAAAACCUGCAGCUUAACUGUGGGCGUGCGGUCGAUACGGGCAGACUAGAGUUCGGCAGGGGAGACUGGAAUUCCUGGUGUAGCGGUGAAAUGCGCAGAUAUCAGGAGGAACACCGGUGGCGAAGGCGGGUCUCUGGGCCGAUACUGACGCUGAGGAGCGAAAGCGUGGGGAGCGAACAGG